rnacentral:tRNA from 1 species
UGUCCCAUCAGCUAAUCGGUUAGGCUGCAUCUCUGAUAAGGAUGUAAUCUCAGUUCAAAUCUGAGUGGGACAA